UGGCAUGGUGGUACAUGCUUGUAAUUCCUGCUCCCAAGGAAACUGAGGCUGUACACUGCUUGAGCUCAGGAGGGAAUUCUGGCCUGCAGCAGACUAACAUGGUAUCUGCACAAAGUCUGGCACCAACACAGUGAGUCCCCAGAAACAAGGGGACACCAGGAUGACUAAAGAGAGGUGAAGCGGCCCAAGCUGGAAAAAUAGGUGGUCAAAGUUUCUGUGCCAAGCAGUAGUGAGAUCAGGCCCAAGAGUGGCCACUGUAGUUCAGCCUGAGCAAGAUAGGAGAAUAGGGACCCAU
rnacentral:SRP_RNA from 1 species